rnacentral:lncRNA from 1 species
CCUCAUUAGCUAGCUAAGGUUCAAUACCUGCCACCCACGACUUAAAGGAGGAAAGAUUUCUUUGGCUCACAAUUUCCAGUGGAUUCAGUCCAGAGGUGGCAGACUUUAGGGCAGAAACACAUGGUGGAAGGAAGGUGGCAGCCAGCGAGAAGCAGAGCGAGAAGGAAAGGGCUAGGGGCGGAGAAGACACCCUUCCGGGUCCUAUCCCCAGCCCGGCCCCUUCUGGCCACACCUCACCUUUGCAGUGAGACCUCUGGGGGGUGUCUCGCAGCUGAGCCAUAGCUCCCCUUUUCUGGAUGGUUCCCUGAAUGAUUCUGAUUGUUACCUGAGAUCCUCACCCUGGCCAGGUGUUUCUUACUAAGACUCUGGCCUUGAACAGCUGCAGACCAAGGGUCUGAAGCCAGAAGCCCCCAGCAGCCCUGGCACUCUAUUCCAAAGUUCAGGAUGCACUGAAGAAGGCCAAGAGCUUCUGUGAGUCUCAGGAAUUACAGUUUAUUCAGAGGCUGACUGUGCAGCUGCUGAUUGGAGUACAAAGAGCAGUAAUCAAGAAUUCUCACCCACUGCGGUCUGAGAAGCAUGGCCUUUUCCUGGAGUCUGGAAGCACAGCGGUGUCUCAGGAGUUUGCGAUGUCACUCUGGGACGGACCCGGACCGAGAGUCUCAAGGUCACUGGUCAGGCCAGGGAAACCACGUGAGGUCUCAGCUGCAGCGAAGAACGUGUAUCCUGACGAUGUUACCCAGGACUGGACAACGACCCAGGGCAGGUCCAUGGGCUCACCGGAUAGGUGGUAGUGUACAGAAAAUGAAUGAAGGUGGACCCUUUGGAGAAGUUAAUACCACCCUCAAAGACUUAACAGGUGUGGGUCAGUGUCCCCAGGACAUCUCCAUUAGCUCACCCUAUGGAAGUAGCAGGAUAUGACUCCACUGUAAGUUUAGGAACAUCUUCCCUGGCAAAUAGGAGCCCUACAUUUCUACUUCUGGAAGUAACAGCCAAGACCCUCCCAGAGGACUCAGCUCCUGCAGAACAACCACAAAAUCUGAACAGGACACAGAAGCAACUACCCGCAGCGCUGGGGAACAGCAGGGGCAGAUGGCUUUGCAGAGGUGGCGAACCUGUGUAAGACCGAGGGCCUUACCAAACGCUCUGAGGAGCUGACUGCAGGGAAGAACACCUGGGAAGGAACACACCGGACAAGUUGGAAAGUAAAACAGACCUUAGUCUGGCCAGACUGCACUCCCAAAGCAAAGUAGCUUAGAGAGGCGACUAGCCCAGAGUCCAAGGCUCUUUUUUGCAGGGGAAGUUAACAGGCGAAAUUUACAGAAGAGGAACAAAGGUUAGUGGUCAGCUGACACGUACUGAUGGUCAGCAGAUGUUUGUAGAUUGUUCUAUAGAUAGCGGUGUCCGGAACAUCAGUUUCGAACAAAGAGUUGAGUAAUUUACUUUGGGACCUUAUGGCUGAUACAGAUCUUAUCUAGUGUCCUGGAACUAACAAGCAUCUUUAUCUAUUUACUCACAUUUACAGUUGGGGCUAGGGGAGUUUUAUGAUUACAGAGUUAUGCAGUCCCCCACCUGUGGCACGCAUGCCACAGUGGGCCAUGUGUUAUUACCAAAAGCUCUAAAAGGUUCACCAUCACUGGCUCCUAGUGAAGACCGUGAGCUGUCGGGAGGGAGAGGAGGGUCACAACUCAGUCAGUCCCCAUGCCCAGGUCUUAGCUGGAGGCCAAGAGAAGCCUGCACUCGGUGCACACGGCAAUACCAGGGACAGACACGAAAAACACCUGCAGCCUGAUUUUUUCUGAAAAAUCAGAAAAGUGGACACUUAAAAGAGAAAGAGACGCUUACAAGGGGAAAAGAGAGAAGAUCCCAACUCAGCCUUCCCACGUCUCUGACUGAACCCUGACCCAAGUACCAUGGAGCAGACACAAAAUGGCUCAGCUGAAGACAGCAGCAACCACAGAAAUUCCAAACCGAGACUUCCAUCCAAGAAAAAGAGUGUGCGUUCAGGUCGAGCGGAGACUGAUAUCUGCUAACACAGAGGAAAAAGACUCCUUAGAGAAAAGAAAAAUCCAGAAUCUCCACAAACUAACUUUCAUAAUACUCAGGACACAAUCCAAAAUUACACGAUAUGGAAAAAAAAAAACUAGGAAACAUUCUUAACAGAAAAAAAUUCAACCAAGCCCAACCUUAUAAUGAACCAGAUGUUGGACCUAACAGAAAAGGAUUUUGAAUUUGCUCUUCUAACUCCCCUCAGGGAAAGAGCACAACCAUGAUUUCAAGGACUACAAACACCAGCAGAGAAAUGAAAGUCUGAACAAGGAAACAGAAACAGCAAAGAGGAAACAAAUAGAAACAAAGAACCAAACUUAAAAAAAUACAAUUUCGUAAAUAAGAAUUCACUUACUAGACUAAAAACUGAAUGACUGUGAUGGAUGAAAGAAUAAGAAAACGUGAAGAUCGAUCCACAGAAAUACACUAGGUGAAGAGGGGAGCAGAGAGGGAGAGGGAGGGGCAAGGACUGGAAAGAACCAGACCCUUAGUGAGCUGUGAGAUGACAUCAAAUGGUAAGUUAUAUGUGUAACUGGAACACCAGAAUAAGAGGGGAGAAAGAACAGAAAAGAAACGCUUGAAGGAAUAACAACUGAAAGUUUCCCAAAUUGGUCGAAAGACCAAAAGCUGCAGAUACGAGACAUAUUUCACAGAAGGAGGCCAACGUCAAGGCACAUCUGCUGGAAGCCGCUGUGGUCCAAGUGUGUCCCGAACAGGCUUUCUGUUGGAAAUGCAUUUGCCAGUGUGAUUAUGUUAAGAGGUGCAGCCUUUAGGAGGUGAUUCAGUCACGAAGGUGAAGCCCUCAGGGAUGACAUGAGGACCCUUACAAGAGUCCACUGGGUUUGUCCCCAUCGAUCUCUUCUGCCCUGUGACAACACAGUGUUUGCCACCUUUAUCAUUCUGUCUUCUACCAGGUAGGGGAACAGCAACAAGAUGCCUCCUGGAAGCAAGGAACAGACGCACAUGCCCCAAACCUGUACCUUGAUACAGAAGAACAACAAUCCAGUGUCAGCUGACUUUUCUCUAAAAACCAAGGAAAGCCAAAGAGAGUACAGCAACAUUUUUACAGUCCUGAAAUCAAAACAACAUCAAAAACAAAAAACCACCUGUCAACUCAGAGAAACUAUCACUUAAGAAUAAAUGUGUGGGCUGGUGUUCAGCUCAGUGACACAGCAAGUGCUUAGCACGUAUGGAGCCCUGGGUUCAAUUCCCAGUAACCCCACCUCCAAAGGCAAAAUAGAGAGAGACGUUUCAUUUAAAAGAAAAUUUAGAGGAUUGUUCACCAGCAAAUUGCCACUCUAAGAAAUGCUAAAAGAAAUUUCUUCAGAGGAAAAUUGAUACCAGUCAGAAUUCCAAGAUUUUCAGAAAACAAUGAAAAACAGGAAUGUAAAUACUUCGAUCAAUGCAAAAGAAGUUAUUUUGCCUUUUUCCCUUUACCUUUGUUUUCAUAAACAAUAACUGUUCAAAAAUUGUAAUAUGGUCUUUGUGGGUAUAAACCAACAGAAUUGUGACAUGCUGGUAUGCUCAUCAGACAGACCACAUUUGCUGGCCAUAAAACCCACCUCAAUACAUUUGAAAAGUUUGAAGUCCUGUAGGCCAAGUGCUCUGACCACAGAGGGAUUAAAUUAGAAACCAGUUACAAAGAGAAAACCAGGAAGAUUCCAAAUAUUUGGAAUUUAGUACACUUCUAAAUAAUUAUUGGGCCAAAGAGGAUUCCCAGGAAGUAUUAGAAAAUAUGUUAUUUAUAUAUAAAUAUGGUAAUGAAAAUAUACAUGUCAAAAUUUGUGGGAUAUAGACAAGGCAGAGCGUACAGGGGAAUUUAUAACUUUAAAUGUUUAUGUAGGAAAAGGAAGGUCUAAAAGUCAACCUAACCCCAAAGCCUAAAAUAGUACAAGAUAGCAUAAAAAGAAAUGGAAGUUAUACACAAAGCAAACAAAAAGAAGGAAAGAACUGAACAGAAAUCAAUAAAAUAGAAAAACAAUAACCGUGAAAGCUCUUUUUAUGUUUCUUUUUGGACCCGAAUUGAAUCUAAGGCGUCACACAUGCUAGGCAAGCUCUACCACUGAGCUACACCCCCAGGCUUUUUAUCUUGAGAUAGGAUCUCUCUAAAUUGCCCAGGCUGGCCUUGAACUUGCUGCACUGCACUGCUCCUGAGGAGCUGGGAC